GAAUUUCCAGGAGGGUCAUUUUUUUCAAGACUUGUAGAGUAACAAGGAAUUUGCUUGGCCUUGACGUCCUAGAAAUAAUAAAGAGGUCUAGUGUCUUGGAAACUGGACUCACCUUUCUUAGGAAGACCACACAACCAAAGUCAGAUGAAACCAAAGGGGCCGGAUGAAAUGACCCAAGAACUAUUUUCCCAUCACCUGAGAGCAUUUUCUAUCCGGCAAAUAUUUACCAAGCUCCUAUUUUGUGCCAGGAAUCGUGCUCAGGACUGAGGGGUAAAAACGAAUCUGAGGAAUAGGCGGACACACAUAUAUGUCUCAUACCACUUGGUACAGGCUACCCUGGGGUCUAGGAACACACUCGUGUGCUUGGGGAAUGAUGAUACCUCAAGGAAACUGGUCUGAGAAGAGCGGGGAAGGAGAGAGAGAAGGCCAGGAAUGCAACAAUAACAGUGAUAAUAAAGAAUAUUUAUGUGGCAUUUACAGUCUACAAAGCACUUUUACUUUUUUUUUUUUCAUCUAAUCUUUACAACAGCCCUUUGGGAAGUAAACAGAAAAGUAGUUUCCCCCAUGUGGGUACCUCCGGGAGACGAGCUCUCCCUAAGCGGCAAUAUAUUCAAAAUGCAUCCGGCCUAUCAGCAUCCCCUUGGACACUCCACAUCCCAUGAACCACAUCCACAAGCGACGGUCUUUGGUGUGCCACUUCCUGUUGAAGCUGCCUGUCUACCAGAAUUAGCCUUUCCAUAGGUAAGGCCCUGUCGGGGAAGGUGACGGGGAGCUGUCCAACCAAGACUCCUUAGGAGUCAUUCUCUCUAAUCGACAGCAACGAAAACAAAGGUGAUAUUGCCUCAUCAUCUUUCUUAAAGGUAGGUGUUUAACAUUUUUUAAAAACCAUGGAACUGGGCUGGGCUCGGUGGCUCAUGCCUAUAAUCCCAGCACAUUGGGAGAACAAGGAGGGCAGAUCGCUUGAGCCCAGGAGUUUGAGACUAGCCUGGGCAACAUGGCUAAACCCUAUUUCUACAAAUUAAGAAAAAAAAAUUAGCCAGGAAGCGCAUGCCUGUUGGCCCAGCUACUCAGGAGGCUGAGAUGGGAGGAGGGCUUGAGCCAGGAGUCCGAGGCUGCAGUGGGCCACAGUCGCACCACUGAGCUCCAACCUAGGUGACAGAGCAAGACCCUAUCUCAAAACAAAAUACACAAAACAAAACAAAACAAAACAAAACAUGGAACUAGACAAGCUCUUGCCUAAUAUCUACUUAGGAUCUCUCAGGUUUCUCCUAUUAAAAAAUACAAAUAAACCAAAAGCCACUAGACUUGAGCAAAGACAAGGAAGCAUGUGUCUAGCACAUGGCCAGCAUGUGUGGGCAUAACCAUAGUUAGAUAUUAAAACCCAAAGGCUGGUGGAAACGCUCAGCAGGCCAGUCCGUGCCCUCCCUUAUCCAAGUGAGUGUGCCUUUGAUCCCAGUGAGCCUCAGAAGCCUGAGCAGUGUAUUAGUCAUCAUUUCUACUCUAAUUAGAAAAGAUUUCUUUGUUCCCAGCCCAAGUUCAAUCAGCAUUUCAGUUAAACAGGUAAAAAAAAAAAAAAUUGAGUUGGAAAAAUCUUCGAGUCAUUUGGCCCAAAAGG
ensembl:lncRNA